GGCCGGGCUCCGCACAGUGGGAGCAUGUGAACCGCGUCAGGUCCGGGAGGAAGCAGCGCUAAGCAUUCCCUCUCAGGUGUGCGGAACGCCCGGCCCUU
rnacentral:SRP_RNA from 1 species